UACGUAGGGUGCGAGCGUUAAUCGGAAUUACUGGGCGUAAAGCGUGCGCAGGCGGUUAUAUAAGACAGAUGUGAAAUCCCCGGGCUCAACCUGGGACCUGCAUUUGUGACUGUAUAGCUAGAGUACGGUAGAGGGGGAUGGAAUUCCGCGUGUAGCAGUGAAAUGCGUAGAUAUGCGGAGGAACACCGAUGGCGAAGGC
rnacentral:rRNA from 1 species